UAAUCAUAAAUCAAAUAUAUGAAACACGAUGUAGUAAUAACACACACACACGCACACACGCACGUCAACAUUUCCUAAAAUGAUGCGUGUUCAUCUUCCGCCUCCCCCCCCACACCCACUCUCUCUCUCUCACACACACACACACACUUAAUGCGUUACCCAGUUUUUAAAGGCUUUGUUAUUAAUUCGGAGCGGAGGGGACGAGCCCCCCCAAGACGUGAUUACAUGGAUAUAAAACACCCCCCCCCCCUCCCUCCUUGGCUGUCGCCAUUUUAAGCAAAGCGACAUGCAGCAAAGCGCAGCAGAAAGAAGAAGAAGCAGCAGCAGAAGAAGAAGAAGAAGAACUAAUAGCGUAACUCAUGAGGGUUCUGGGGGGCUUGAAGGGGGGGGGGGCUUCACUGAUGGGGACUUGCAGGAAAAGAAAAGCCCCUCUCUGUCCGGCUGCGGGUGGACGUGACACUGGAGCCCCGCCGGGCCCCCUCCUCCCGCCCCGUGGAUUCUCUCUUCUCGUUUGUUUGCAGCGGCUCCCGGUGCUCGAGGCCGCCGGCGGAGGGGAGGGAAGACUACGACGUACCUACGGGAAGCGACGGACACGUGACGCCGACGUCACCGGCGGUGGAGUUUGGCGUGAGAGGGGAGCUCGAGCUGCUGCUACGAAGACCCACCGGUAGAUGGAGGAGGGGGUUUGAACCCCGGUCCCGGUUGAACGGGACUGCUACAGCUAGUCACACCUGUCCUUCUCCCAGGUGACCGCUCUCUUAAAGAGAUAGUACACGACUGCUCACCUCUAGUGCACACUGCCCUCUCCGAGUACCCUUUGUCUCGUGCGUCAUAUGCGCGGGCUGGUCUCUGCUGGAGGAUCUGGGUCUGUCCACAGUGGAGUGGUCUCUGCUGGAGGAUCUGGGUCUGAGCUGAAGGGGGUUCUGGUGAACCUGUAUGAUGUCAUCUGGUUUCUCCAGAAUCCAAACCAUAUAAGUAGAACAUUUUCUUUGUGAUGGUCUCGUUUACUGAUGGAGAUCUUUAGAGAGUCAGAACUGAACUGAGACUGGUUCAGGACCAGUUAAAAGUUUAGAAAGGAAGCCCCCUGCAGGACAGAAGAGGGAACCACAGACAGAAUAUAAUAUCUAUUAUUGGCGGUUGUUUUGCACAUGCACUCAUUUAUUCCAUAGAAAAAAGUAUAAGCUGCAGGUUAUAACAGCAGAGUAAGGGGGAAUUGGUGUAAGGUUUCUAAUUUCUCCUCAAAAUUAAAUAAUAUCUAUUUCCAUACUUUUAUCAGAAAAGGAACUUGACUAGAGAUGUUUUUUUUAUCUGUGGCUGAUCAUUAUUGAAAUACCUGAAUCGCAUUGGGUUGUGGCCAAUCUACUUUAAACAACACAAACAACAGUUGAUUAAUAAUUGAUUAAUAAUUGAUUAAUAAUUUACAGAAAACAUUUGUGUUUCGAUAUUCUGUUAUGCAGCAGACCAAUGUAAAACUUCAAUGAAGAAAGAAUCUUGAGUUUGCAGCCUGAUAUAAUGUGAUGGAUGUGUGAAAAUGCUUUUAUGACUGUAUCCAAUGCUACUAAUUUUAUUUGCUAUAACAAAGACAUAUGGUUCUGUGGCUUGUAGUAACUUAAAGGUGCAAUAAAAAAUAUAUUUUCAUUA